rnacentral:lncRNA from 1 species
GCAGCCCAGACGACCCAUGGCUAGGACUCUGACAUCCAGCCAUCUCAAUAUUCCAGAGAAGAGGAUGAGUGUGAAGGGUGGUGGCGAUUUUAAACAAGGUGAUCAGGAAGACCUUGUGGAUAACUUCGGGUCUGAGCACACUCCAUCAGGCUGCCGGAUAGUCUCACCAUUACUCCCGUUAUUUGGAACCUCUUCACUGCAACGUGACCUUGUUUAUGUGAGUUUAGCUCUCUGAGACUCAGUUUCCUCAAAUGCAAUAUGAUAAGGUAGGAGUAUCUGAUCCCUACUGUCCCUUCCAGAUAAAAUAUUAUGCAAAUCCAUGCUGUUUGUAAAAAGGAAGGAAUUUUCCAAGCACUGUAUGGUGGUGUGUGGGGAGAGCACCAAUGGUAUUGGUGGUUGAAAGAGAUUUUCAGAGACUCCAGCUCAACUCUAACUUGUGGGUUAGUAAACUAUGGCCUGGAGGCCAA